rnacentral:misc_RNA from 1 species
GGGCUUUUGCGAGAGUCGUUCUUACACCCACACAUUCGUCCGGCCACGACCCCAUCGGCGGAAAGUGUGCUCACUAGGAUAAACGUGUACGGCUUCGCAGCGCUGAGGCGUUCACCACGCCGGACAAAAACAAAGAAAAUUACUGCGGUCUGCACCACUCCUUCUUUCCCUUCCUCAGCAACGAGUGCUUGUCGGGGGCGCUGCCAUUGACGUGGCAGCGGCAGCUGCGUCGCCAUCAUGGUUGUCGAACGCGAUCGGUCAAACGAACUCUAUGACCUCUUUUCUCGGCAGAGGCGGAGUCGACCGCCGCCGAGCAGUGGUGCGGUGGUGUCCACUGGUUUGCACAGCAGUAGCGACGUGCAAACAUUCAACCGCUUUGCCAAAGAGUUCUCCAACAACAUUGCCACCGUCUCUGAGUACAUUAUGCGUUUGACGCAGCUGGCAAACCGUCAGAGCGUCUUCGACGACCAGACGGCUGAGGUCAGUGAGUUGACGCAGAUGGUGAAGAGCUCGCUGCAACGCCUCCACAACGAUGCAGGAACGCUGGAGGAGCUGAAGCGGCGAGCCGUUGAGUCACAAAAAGGGUGCAUUCAGCCCAUGGGCGACGCUCGCGGUAUGUUUGGCAGCUCGUCUUAUCACCUCCGUACGUCUGAGAAGCACAGCGACACCGUUGUUGAGACGCUGCGCAGCCGGCUGGCUCGCACCGGACAGCAGUUCCGCACCACUCUCCAGCAUCAAUCCAAAAGCCUCAAGGAUAAGGCGAACCGGCGUCACAUGUUCACCACAGCGGAUCGGCCGCAAACGUUUGAGAGCGCGCUUUUUCAGGACCAGGAGCAGCAUCAACAGCAGCAACUGCUGCUCUCCGGAACGGGCAGCACGCAGUACUACCAGCAGCGAGCAGACGCCGUGCUGGAGAUCGAGGCAGCUGUGCAGGAAGUUGGUGAACUCUUCAACGAUUUCACGCGCCUUGUUCAGGAGCAGGAGGAGGUUGUGCUUCGUAUUGACACGGAUGUGGACAACGCUGUGCGUCACGUCAACGCCGGAAGCAAUGAACUGAUGCGAUACUUGACGAACCUGAGCUCCAACCGCGGGCUCAUUCUGAAAGUGUUUGCAAUGCUGUUCUUCUUCCUCAUGCUUUUUGGUAUCCUGGUGGUGCGCUAGCUGCCGGGGCGCUGACGAGUAUGUGUGUGUGUCUUCAUUGUCGUCGCACGUAAUGGUAAUGAAGCCGAUGAUGAGAGAGGAGCGCUCAUCUUGUUUGCCAUUGACCGCACAACAGACUUGUUGGCUGGCGUGCCGCAACGAGUGCGUGAGUGGGUGGGUGGUGGAAACGAGCUGCAUUUUCGCAUUCCUUUUUGUAGAAGCCGUUCUGUGCGUCCCAGGAUGGGACUUUUGGAGGGCUCUCAGGGUUUUCGGGUGUGUGUCGCCCUCCUCCUGUCGUCCCCGGGCAUCAGGGCUGAUGCCCGGGAUUCUCGGUCGCAAUCCUCUAGUGUGUGUUCGCAUCCAUUUCUUUUUCCUUCGUUGCCAUGCAUUCAGUGUGCUCGUGGAGGUACUGACUUCAUACUCUGUUCUCUUGUUGGAUGCUGAUGGUUCUC